UACGUAGGGUGCAAGCGUUAAUCGGAAUUACUGGGCGUAAAGCGUGCGCAGGCGGUUGUGUAAGUCAGAUGUGAAAUCCCCGGGCUCAACCUGGGAAUGGCAUUUGAGACUGCACAGCUAGAGUGUGUCAGAGGGGGGUAGAAUUCCACGUGUAGCAGUGAAAUGCGUAGAGAUGUGGAGGAAUACCGAUGGCGAAGGCAGCCCCCUGGGAUAACACUGACGCUCAUGCACGAAAGCGUGGGGAGCAACCAGG
rnacentral:rRNA from 1 species